UCGUCAGUUCGUACUGUGAAGCAUCCUGUUAAGUCAGGCAACGAGCGAGACCCACGCCCACAGUUGCCAGCGUACUCUCUGGAGUGACGGGUACACUGUGGGGACCGCCGCUGCUAAAGCGGAGGAAGGAAUGGGCAACGGUAGGUCAGUAUGCCCCGAAUAUCCCGGGCUACACGCGAGCUACAAUGGUUGGUACAAUGGGUAUCUACCCCGAAAGGGGACGGGAAUCUCCUAAAACCAAUCUUAGUUCGGAUUGAGGGCUGCAACUCGCCCUCAUGAAGCUGGAAUCCGUAGUAAUCGCGUUUCAACAGAAUGCGGUGAAUACGUCCCUGCUCCUU
rnacentral:rRNA from 1 species